rnacentral:rRNA from 1 species
GAUGAACGCUGGCGGCGUGCCUAAUACAUGCAAGUCGAGCGAACGGACGAGAAGCUUGCUUCUCUGAUGUUAGCGGCGGACGGGUGAGUAACACGUGGAUAACCUACCUAUAAGACUGGGAUGACUUCGGGAAACCGGAGCUAAUACCGGAUAAUAUUUUGAACCGCAUGGUUCAAAAGUGAAAGACGGUCUUGCUGUCACUUAUAGAUGGAUCCGCGCUGCAUUAGCUAGUUGGUAAGGUAACGGCUUACCAAGGCAACGAUGCAUAGCCGACCUGAGAGGGUGAUCGGCCACACUGGAACUGAGACACGGUCCAGACUCCUACGGGAGGCAGCAGUAGGGAAUCUUCCGCAAUGGGCGAAAGCCUGACGGAGCAACGCCGCGUGAGUGAUGAAGGUCUUCGGAUCGUAAAACUCUGUUAUUAGGGAAGAACAUAUGUGUAAGUAACUAUGCACAUCUUGACGGUACCUAAUCAGAAAGCCACGGCUAACUACGUG